UACGUAGGGUGCGAGCGUUAAUCGGAAUUACUGGGCGUAAAGCGUGCGCAGGCGGUUCGUUAAGACAGAUGUGAAAUCCCCGGGCUUAACCUGGGAACUGCAUUUGUGACUGGCGAGCUAGAGUAUGGCAGAGGGGGGUAGAAUUCCACGUGUAGCAGUGAAAUGCGUAGAGAUGUGGAGGAAUACCGAUGGCGAAGGCAGCCCCCUGGGCCAAUACUGACGCUCAUGCACGAAAGCGUGGGGAGCGAACAGG
rnacentral:rRNA from 1 species